AUGAUUACAGAGACAUUAACAAGGAUUAUUGGAAAUCCUUAAAUUUUAUAACAUUGUAUCAUAACAGGAUAAGGUCCAAACACGAAAUAAUAUUAAACCACAAAAGGAAGGAGUAUCCUCAUCAUAUUGUCGCAUACUGUGUAUGAAUGUUGUUAACAGAGGACAAAGGUAAAAGUGACCUAUGCCGUUCAGUCUGGAUAACAUCAUAUUGUCGCAUACACACGACAAUAACAACAUAACAAAGAAGAAAGCAACUAAAAGUAGUAAGAUUACACACCAGGUCAUCAUAAUCACAAUAAAGAUAGAUGAAGCUACUCCAAAGAGUCUGUAAGGCUGCAAGUUUUUAAACUUCGUCAUCUGGAAUCGAAUUUUCCAUAUCAAUAUUUGGAUUACUGCAAAAAAGCAAGACAAAACACAAGAUGAGAAAAAUAGAAAGAUGCAAUUCAGAUUAAAGUUUACUGAUAUUACUAACUUAAAAUAGAGUAUAUUCAUGUCUGACAAACUUGACUGAGUAGCAGAGUAGGUAGAUGGUACAAUGUUUUAUACCAGUUCUUCAACACUAAUUUCUGGUGUAGGCUGCACAACCUCCCCUUCCACCUUUUUGUUCUCUUGGGUCUUAGCUAAUUCCUCUCUUGUGUUAUUCUCCACAGCCGAUGCAGAUGUCAGUGAUGCAACCUACAGGACCCAAUAGUCAUCAACCAUAACAUAAAAGUUCCUAAUACAUACAUAUGUUCCUUAUAAAAAAACAAAGCAUCAAAUUAGUAUUUGAGUUACCUCAGCAGAGGCCAUUGAAAUUGUAAGAGGGUUGCAACUGAACUCCGUAGUAGUUUCUUUGAUCUUCUCCACAACUGGCUCUGCAGCCAUUUCUUGAGAGAUCUCAUCACUAGUCAUUUCCUCUACUAUACGUUCUUCAGUAGCAACCUUUGCUUUUUCUACAACCUCCUCCUUAGUUGCA
rnacentral:lncRNA from 1 species